rnacentral:lncRNA from 1 species
CACACAUAUACUCACUACAUAAAGCAGAGGUGUAUGCAUGUGCAUAUACAGAUAUGUUGUUCCUUCAGAAAAAUCUGACUCUUCAUGCCUCAAAUUCAGCGUUCAAAAUUCUUGAAUGGUUUUGCUCUUCAUUUCUGUGUGCCUUUGUUCACCAUUCAUGAAACACAGACAACAGCAUUUCCUUGUUUUAUUUCAGUGCGGUGAAAAUAAGUACCUUAAGAAGCGAGGCUGUAACAAGGAGUACCACAAAAGUGUCCACGAGAAGAUGAAUUCCAUCUUCUGAGCAGGAUUAGAGUGUUCUGAGGUACUAACAUAUGGCCGUGUGCUUGUAUCCUGGUACCAGAGGACAAUGAGGAAUAAGGACAUCUGUCAAACAUGGUAUUAUCUGCCUCCCCACUUUUCGCUUUGGGACCAGCAGAGCUGCUUUGAGG